CUGUUCGAGCGUCAUUAUAACCAAUCCCGCAAGGUUUUGGGGUCCGCGGUUCGCUGCGGCCCUUAAAAUCAGUGGCGGCGCGUCGGAUGCUCUCAGCGUAGUAAUACUCCUCGCUCGGGAACCACGAUAGAUGCUCGCUAGCAACUCUAAUUUUCUCAAAGGUUGACCUCGGAUCAGGUAGGGAUACCCGCUGAACUUAA
rnacentral:misc_RNA from 1 species